rnacentral:lncRNA from 1 species
AUGGGGGUGAAACCAAGGGAGGGGGGAGGUGAGUUUGCUGGAAACCUGAAGUCCAGGGAAGCUGACAGCUUUGGGUUUUCCUCAAUAACACAGAAGAUGAUUGUUUAAGCAACAGAGGGUAAGACCCCUCUCCCCAUUCAUCUAAGCUCCUCCGUGUGUCCACCGAACUAUAUCACAUCAGCACUUCCACAUCUGUCCUCAUGGCACUGAGCACUUCUCUGGAAACUGACCAGUUAUUGCAGAGCCUUGUUUCCCCAGCAUCAUCCUCCAAGAGAAGGAUCCUACAGGAACAAAGGGAUGCCUGUGGCUCUGCAACUGGAUUGGAAGGAGCCAAAAUUCUCCUGAUUUGAGUUUCUGGUUCUGCUGCAGUCAGUCACACGUCCACAAAGACCUCAAAUUUAUGUCCUCUAAAAACUCAUUGAGUAGUUGCCAUCAUCAUCACGGUCUUCAUCAUGGUGGUAGAAGUUAACGGGAGCAAGUCACUCGCAUUAUGCCAUUGAGACCUCCCCAUCGCCCUGUGAAGUAAGCACCGUGUUCACCCCAAGCUCUGGUUGGAGCAGCAGUUGGAGCAUAAUAAGAGCUCCAGGAAGGGCAGUCACGGCGGCAUUCUGUGCGCAGCACUUGCAUGGGAACAGUCCCUUGAAAGGGAAAAUAAAAAGCUCUAUGGCCUUCUAGGUGCUAAGGAGUGAUUAAUCCACACUAGUCCAUUGAGCACCUAUUCCAUGUCCUUGUGGAAAACACGGGGAUGCUGGGUUUGUAGGCGAGGCUAUACCUGGCAUGCUAUGUUGGGCAUGUAAAGGUUUGCCAAGUCAGCUGAUGGGGGUCUUGGAAGUGUGGAUGGACUACCCCUUGCCCUUGAGAAGCUAUCUUUGAUGAUGAGGGGAGGAUUUGCAGCGUGGCACAAGGUAUGAGGACGAGAAGCACAGAGCCUCUGCCCAGGACAUCUGCCUUCCACACUCAGCUGCCAGCAGCGUUUCUCCACCUUCCCUGGCCCAAGGAGCACCUGAGGGAGGUGGAUAAAGAUGCAGACAUCUGAGCCCUAUCCCCAGAUAUGUCGCUUUGGUGUGUCUGGAGUAAGCCAGGGAAUUUGCAUUUCUACCAAGUUUCCCAGGCGAUCCGGAUGCUGGGGGCCCACAGACCUUCUGCUGAAGAACAAAGACCUAGAGGAGACAGAGAUCCGAGUGGACCAG